UACGUAGGGUGCGAGCGUUGUCCGGAUUUAUUGGGCGUAAAGAGCUCGUAGGCGGUUUGUCGCGUCGGCCGUGAAAUCUCCACGCUUAACGUGGAGCGUGCGGUCGAUACGGGCAGACUUGAGUUCGGUAGGGGAGACUGGAAUUCCUGGUGUAGCGGUGAAAUGCGCAGAUAUCAGGAGGAACACCGGUGGCGAAGGCGGAUCUCUGGGCCUUACCUGACGCUCAGGUGCGAAAGCUAGGGGAGCGAACAGG
rnacentral:rRNA from 1 species